AUGGCUCAGGAUGAACGCCAGCGAUAGGCCUAACACAUGCAAGUCGAGGGGCAGCACAUGAAGUAGCAAUACGGAUGGUGGCGACCGGCGCACGGGUGAGUAACGCGUAUGCAACCUACCUACAACAGGGGAAUAACCCGUUGAAAGACGGACUAAUACCCCAUAAUACAGGGGUCCCGCAUGGGAAUAUUUGUUAAAGAUUUAUCGGUUGUAGAUGGGCAUGCGUUCCAUUAGCUAGUUGGUGAGGUAACGGCUCACCAAGGCAACGAUGGAUAGGGGAACUGAGAGGUUUAUCCCCCACACUGGUACUGAGACACGGACCAGACUCCUACGGGAGGCGGCAGUGAGGAAUAUUGGUCAAUGGACGCAAGUCUGAACCAGCCACGUCGCGUGAAGGAAGACGGCCCUAUGGGUUGUAAACUUCUUUUGUAAGGGAAUAAAGUGCAGUACGUGUACUGUUUUGCAUGUACCUUACGAAUAAGGAUCGGCUAACUCCGUGCCAGCCGCUGC
rnacentral:rRNA from 1 species